UGGGGAAUAUUGCACAAUGGAGGGAACUAUGAUGCAGCGACGCCGCGUGAACGAAGAAGGCUUUCGAGUCGUAAAGUUCUUUUAUAUGGGAAGAUAAUGACGGUACCAUAAGAAAAAGCCCCGGCUAACUACGUGCCAGCAGCCGCGGUAAUACGUAGGGGGCUAGCGUUGUACGGAAUCACUGGGCGUAAAGGGUUCGCAGGCGGAAAUGCAAGUCAGGUGUAAAAGGCAGUAGCUUAACUACUGUAAGCAUUUGAAACUGCAUAUCUUGAUAAGACUACCGGUACGUGGUAUUUUUAGUGUAGCGGUGUAAUGCGUAGAUAUUAAAAACAAUACCGGUGGCGAAAGCGACUUACUGAGCUCAUUCUGACGCUGAUGAACGCAAGCGUGGGUAUCAAACAGG
rnacentral:rRNA from 1 species